UCCUCUAGCAUACCUGUUUUAAAGCCUUGAGGUAAAGCCCGAAAGGGAAAGUCGAAAGAGGACAAUAAUUGUUAGGGGUGGAUCUGGGGCGUUACAAAUGGUAUCAGAGCCUG